UACGUGGGGGGCGAGCGUUGUCCGGAAUCAUUGGGCGUAAAGCGCGUGUAGGCGGUCCGGUAAGUCCGCUGUGAAAGUCGGGGGCUCAACCCUCGGAUGCCGGUGGAUACUGUCGGGCUUGAGUACGGAAGAGGCGAGUGGAAUUCCUGGUGUAGCGGUGAAAUGCGCAGAUAUCAGGAGGAACACCAAUUGCGAAGGCAGCUCGCUGGGACGUUACUGACGCUGAGACGCGAAAGCGUGGGGAGCAAACGGG
rnacentral:rRNA from 1 species